GGUAGAAUUCCCUUUCUCGCAAGAGACUGCUGCGGAGGUGCUGCAUGGCUGUCGUCAGCUCGUGCCGUGAGAUGUUGGGUUAAGUCCCGCAACGAGCGCAACCCUUAUCCCUAGUUGCCAUCGGGUCAAGCCGGGCACUCUAGUGAAACCGCCCCGGAUAACGGGGAGGAAGGUGGGGAUGACGUCAAGUCCUCAUGGCCUUUAUGUCCAGGGCUACACACGUGCUACAAUGGUCGGUACAAACCGUCGCAAACCCGCGAGGGGGAGCUAAUCGGAAAAAGCCGACCUCAGUUCGGAUUGGAGUCUGCAACUCGACUCCAUGAAGCUGGAAUCGCUAGUAAUCGCAGAUCAGCACGCUGCGGUGAAUACGUUCCCGGGCCUUGUACACACCGCCCGUCACAUCACGAAAGUGGGCUGUACUAGAAGUCGGUGAGCUAACCGCAAGGAGGCAGCCGCCCAAGGUACGGCCCAUGAUUGGGGUGAAGUCGUAACAAGGUAACCGU
rnacentral:rRNA from 1 species